AACUCUAACACUGCUCACGGGUGCUGGCUGGAACAUGGAAUCACUGAGGCUGGAAAAGAUCUACAAGAUCAUCAAGCCUAGCAUAAAACUUAAGGCCAUGACUAUGUUUGCCUGGACAGAGCUGGGACCAUGGGAAGAGAUGAAGACAGUGCUCCUUGUGAACAUAUCUAAUUCACCCUCUGUGAAAAUUCCCCUUUGCUGAAAAUAUCUAAUUCCCAUCUGAGGAACACGAUCAGCAGGACUUUGGAGUUCAGGCUCAGCAUGUGAAGGAUAUCAGCUAGGACAAAAAGACAAAGCUAAAAUUAAGAAAUAAACAGAAAAGUUGAAGCAUUUCCCCCACAUUUCUGUUCCCUAACAGAAAGCUUCCACUUCUCUUUCUGAAAUAACACUUUUUGAAACUGGCUUCUUCAUCCUCUGUUACUUAGAAAACAACAACAGCAUCUUUGUGAGUAAUCUUGAAGCAUUUUUUUACUCCAUGAUUUUGCUCCAGUCUGACCACUGAACCAAGUGAGUCAUUAUUUGCAGAGCUCAAGAUGGUUGUUGAGUGCUGACACAGCUCCUUUAUCAGGAAUGUAAGCUUUGUGUCCUGGAUCCAUCAGUUGAAAAAAAAAAAAUGAAUUCUAUCUGUUUUUCACCCCAGCCCCUUCUUGCUGAUUAAAGGAAUGAAAUUAACUCCAUGGCUUCAUUGUUGGAGGCCAAGAAAAGUUAAUGGAACUGCAAGAAUCAAGACUGAGAAAUGUUCUUGUGAUGUUUUGCAGGGAAAUCCUGCACCAAGGGCAGCUUUCAGGGAGAGCUUGGUCCACAGAAUCACAAAAUCAUAGGAUUGUUCUGAUUAGAAAUUUUGCUUAAGAUCAUAAAGUCCAAACACCAUGGCUGUCAAACUGUGUCCCAAAGUGAGUGUGGAUUCAGCAGAGCCAAGCUGUGGCACAUGCAGUGGAUCAAUCUGCCAACCACAGUACUAACUGAGAAACAUCACAGCCCUCUGCCAGCACUGCAGGUGUAUUGUGAUGUUGGUAUCUGGGGUGAGUCUUGGUCAACCAUCAAAACAUCUUUUAUCCCUUGCAUCUAUUUCCAUACUUACUGAUAGGUAAGGAUGGUUUCAGUGUUUCCUAAGUGAAUUGGGUGGGUCUCAAUGAAGCUGCUAGCCAAGGGAUCAUUCCCCUUUACAAACAGAAUACCAACAUCACCUGUCCCAUUUCAUUCAUCAGCCUAAUGAAGGCCAUAGCAUGCAAUGUUAUUUGACCAUGGAAAUUAAAUUAUUGUCACCUCAGAAGCCCCUGAGAAGCAGAGAGAGGUGCCAGUAGUUAUGCCCACCACAUCACUUAGAGCCUCUUUAGAGGAACCCAGUCUUAAAGACUCUUAUGCCAACUCCAGUAUCCUCCUGUAAAUCCUCUUGUUUUGUCCUUUCCUGUUGCUUUUAAAUGCAGAGAAAUGUUCAGCCACUCCUUUUUAUGUGCAAAUGCAGCCUCUUUACCUGCUUUUCCCCUUCCUCCUGGUACUUUAUUUGCCUGAGAAAACUGGAACGUGAGCAAAGGAAAAAGUGAAAAACAAAACCCUUCCUCCAAAGGCUUUAAAACAGGGCAAUGAAAAACAAGUUCCUGCUGCUAAAAUUUAAGUGUAGGAUACCUCUGUGGAGUAACAUUUACCCCCUGUGCGUAUUCACACUCCCCAGCUCACUUCCACUCACUUGCUGUCUUCAGCUCUUGUUUUACAUAAGCUUUUAUAUUGGUGAUGGACUGGACAAUAAAGCUUGUAACAAAGCAAUCAAUACACAUUACUCAGCGUGAGUUAGACACAAUAUUGGAGAAUCCAGAGCCAACUAAGGCAGGGAAUAAUCUUGUUCCCUAACACUUUGAGGCAGGAAAGGGAAAAGCAGAACUAGAUUUUUUUACAUCGAUUCCCAUCUCUUUGUCUUUGCUUAUUUCAGUGAUCGUCUGUGCUCUGCAGCUGCUUCUUGCAGGAGCAGACAGUGUUAAGGAGCUUCUGUAAUAGUCCCACAAAAGCAGUGUUCCCUGGGAACUUGAGGCAAUGGGCACAUUCCUAAGAACACCUUGUGUGAGAGGGUCAGCACCUCAAAGAGCAAGCAGAGAGCACCUCUGGCAACUUUCUGAACACUUCCUUGACCACUGUCAAGCCACUGGUACAAGGAUGGACCCAAGCUUCAUGGAUAAAUUACAUUUGCCUGGAUUCACAACAGUGCUGUAGCAGCUGGUUCAGUUUCUCCAAGACAGAGGAGCUUUGCUCUGCUGGAAUCCCCUUGUCUCCGCCUAAUGCCUAAUUAACACUCUGGUGACAAAAGUCACUGGUCCCCAAAAAGGGUGGAAAGUAGUGGUUUUAACACCUCCCUUCAAAAAUGAUUUGCUCUUAUAGUGUGCCACAUUUAAGCUGUGAGUGCUACCGAAGGAAUUAUGCACUGUGCUCAGCCGUGUACAUCUUUUGGGGUUUAUGUUAUAGGAUUAAUGAAAUAUUGGAAUGACAAAUCCUUGCUGAGUAAAUGACCAGAAAAGGUUAUUACUCAGUGAGUAUAUUAAAGAUUAAGGUUGGGAGGAGACACCUCCCCUUAAGGUGGUGAAGGAAGGGGAAUGUAAAGAAUCUGUUACUCCCUGUAA